UAGCUUGCUACCUGACCUAGCGGCGGACGGGUGAGUAAUGCUUAGGAAUCUGCCUAUUAGUGGGGGACAACAUUCCGAAAGGAAUGCUAAUACCGCAUACGCCCUACGGGGGAAAGCAGGGGAUCUUCGGACCUUGCGCUAAUAGAUGAGCCUAAGUCAGAUUAGCUAGUUGGUGGGGUAAAGGCCUACCAAGGCGACGAUCUGUAGCGGGUCUGAGAGGAUGAUCCGCCACACUGGGACUGAGACACGGCCCAGACUCCUACGGGAGGCAGCAGUGGGGAAUAUUGGACAAUGGGCGCAAGCCUGAUCCAGCCAUGCCGCGUGUGUGAAGAAGGCCUUUUGGUUGUAAAGCACUUUAAGCGAGGAGGAGGCUACUUGGAUUAAUACUCUAGGAUAGUGGACGUUACUCGCAGAAUAAGCACCGGCUAACUCUGUGCCAGCAGCCGCGGUAAUACAGAGGGUGCGAGCGUUAAUCGGAUUUACUGGGCGUAAAGCGUGCGUAGGCGGCUUCUUAAGUCGGAUGUGAAAUCCCUGAGCUUAACUUAGGAAUUGCAUUCGAUACUGGGAAGCUAGAGUAUGGGAGAGGAUGGUAGAAUUCCAGGUGUAGCGGUGAAAUGCGUAGAGAUCUGGAGGAAUACCGAUGGCGAAGGCAGCCAUCUGGCCUAAUACUGACGCUGAGGUACGAAAGCAUGGGGAGCAAACAGGAUUAGAUACCCUGGUAGUCCAUGCCGUAAACGAUGUCUACUAGCCGUUGGGGCCUUUGAGGCUUUAGUGGCGCAGCUAACGCGAU
rnacentral:rRNA from 1 species